AGGCUUGAGUACAGUAGAGGUGGGCGGAAUUCGUGGUGUAGCGGUGAAAUGCUUAGAUAUCACGAAGAACUCCGAUUGCGAAGGCAGCUCACUGAACUGCAACUGACACUGAUGCUCGAAAGUGUGGGUAUCAAACAGGAUUAGAUACCCUGGUAGUCCACACAGUAAACGAUGAAUACUCGCUGUUUGCGAUAUACAGUAAGCGGCCAAGCGAAAGCAUUAAGUAUUCCACCUGGGGAGUACGCCGGCAACGGUGAAACUCAAAGGAAUUGACGGGGGCCCGCACAAGCGGAGGAACAUGUGGUUUAAUUCGAUGAUACGCGAGGAACCUUACCCGGGCUUAAAUUGCAGUGGAAUGAUGUGGAAACAUGUCAGUGAGCAAUCACCGCUGUGAAGGUGCUGCAUGGUUGUCGUCAGCUCGUGCCGUGAGGUGUCGGCUUAAGUGCCAUAACGAGCGCAACCCUUAUCUUUAGUUACUAACAGGUUAUGCUGAGGACUCUAGAGAGACUGCCGUCGUAAGAUGUGAGGAAGGUGGGGAUGACGUCAAAUCAGCACGGCCCUUACGUCCGGGGCUACACACGUGUUACAAUGGGGGGUACAGAAGGCAGCUAGCGGGUGACCGUAUGCUAAUCCCAAAAUCCUCUCUCAGUUCGGAUCGAAGUCUGCAACCCGACUUCGUGAAGCUGGAUUCGCUAGUAAUCGCGCAUCAGCCACGGCGCGGUGAAUACGUUCCCGGGCCUUGUACACACCGCCCGUCAAGCCAUGGGAGCCGGGGGUACCUGAAGUACGUAACCGCAAGGAUCGUCCUAGGGUAAAACUGGUGACUGGGGCUAAGUCGUAACAAGGUAGCCGUACCGGAAGGUGCGGCUG
rnacentral:rRNA from 1 species